UCUCUCCAGCCCACUAUUUUUCUUUAUUAUACGUGGGGACAAUAUAAUUUUUUCAGAUUGAGGUCCAUCAUGUAAUAAGUAGUCAUUUUUAAAAUGAAGGUAAAUGUAUCUUUUACUUAUGAUCCUUGUUUUAAGAAUUCCUCUCUCUGGUGGAUGCAGUGGCACAUGCCUUUAAUCCCAGCUCUCUGGAGGCAGGGGCAAGAGGAUCUUUAUUAGCGGCCAGCCAACUCUGCAUAGCAAGUUCCAGCAGGAGCUGCCUAGUGAACACAUUAUUCCAAGGAAAAGGAAGAAGAGAGAGAGGGUACAACUUACCAGUUAAUUCAGGUACUCAGAAACCAUAUGAGAAGAUCAAUUGCAAUUUCAAGACCAGCCUGGGUUAUAUAAUGAGAUCCAGUCUCAAGGAAGGGGGUGGGGAGGGGGCUGGAGAGAUGACUGAGAGGUUAAAAGUGUAUGCUGACUCAAAGAGGAUCCAAAGAGGAUCCCUAGAUCCACGACCAGUAGCUCGCAACUGCCUGUAACUCCAGUGCCAAAGGAUCUGAUACCCUUGUCAGAACUCCACAGACGUUUGCACUCUCAUACCCAUAGACACAGACAUACACAGAUACAGACAGUGUUUUUAAAACGUAGGGAGCUUAGUUCAGUGGUGGCACAUGUCAAGCCCUGAAUUCAAUCGCUAGCAUUGUAACAUAAAAAUCCCCAGAAUGAGAAUCCCUUUCCUAUCUGGAUGUAUAAAAGAUGAUCAUUUAUUGGGUAUUCUUAAACUUAAACUACCUGGAGGUUAUUUAGGUAAUUAUGCAGUAGAAAUCCUAGAUUCAAUUUGUAUCAUAAAAAAUUUCAAACAUAUACAAAGCAAACACAAGAGGAAUGAAAACCAAAGGUUACAGCUCACUGUAGAACACAAUGCAGGUUGUAUACAAGGCCCCAUGUGCUGGCUCUUGCUC
rnacentral:lncRNA from 1 species